rnacentral:rRNA from 1 species
AGUGGCGACCGGGUGAGUAACACGUGACUAACCUACCUCCGAGUGGGGAAUAACUCCGGGAAACCGGGGCUAAUACCGCAUAACAUCGCAAGAUCAAAGCAGCAAUGCGCUUGGAGAGGGGGUCGCGGCUGAUUAGCUAGUUGGCGGGGUAACGGCCCACCAAGGCGAAGAUCGGUAUCCGGCCUGAGAGGGCGCACGGACACACUGGAACUGAAACACGGUCCAGACUCCUACGGGAGGCAGCAGUGGGGAAUUUUGCGCAAUGGGGAAACCCUGACGCAGCAACGCCGCGUGGAGGAUGAAGCCCUUUGGGGCGUAAACUCCUUUCGACUCGGACGAUAAUGACGGUACGAGUGGAAGAAGCACCGGCUAACUCUGUGCCAGCAGCCGCGGUAAUACAGAGGGUGCAAGCGUUGUUCGGAAUUAUUGGGCGUAAAGGGCGCGUAGGCGGUGCGCUAAGUCACCUGUGAAAUCUCCCGGCUUAACUGGGAGCCUGCAGGCGA